AGCUUUGCACACUGGAGCAUCGUAGCCAAUGAGGUUUAUCCGAGGUACGAUUAUUACUAAUUGAAAACUUUUCCCAAUAUCCCGCCAUGACGACUUGAAAUAUAGUUGGCAUUGGUAAUUUUUGACAGUCUCAACGGAGA
ensembl:snRNA U4 U4 spliceosomal RNA